AAUUCUUGACAGGACUUUUCAAACACAAAAACAAAAAACAAAAUUAUAACUACUCUUAGUUUAAUAUAUAUUGGUAACAAAAAUACAGUUUAAAAACAAUGAAGCAGCCACAGACUUUCAGCCAAAGGCAAAUUGUAGUACACCUGGCGCCAUCUAUGGUUCAACUGUUGACAAUAAAAAGAAGUUUCAAACGAUGAAGCAGUCCCAAACUUUCAGCAAGCAAAUUGGCGCCAUCUAUGGGUUAAUUCUUGACAGGACAAGGUCAGAAUUGACUUGAAUCAGAUGCCGAAAAAGGCAGAAUU
ensembl:ncRNA lncRNA:CR43289 long non-coding RNA:CR43289